rnacentral:rRNA from 1 species
GGACGAACGCUGGCGGCGUGCCUAACACAUGCAAGUCGAGCGGAGAUUUCGGGGGAGCUUGCUCCACCGGAAUUUCAGCGGCGGACGGGUGAGUAACGCGUGAGCAACCUGCCUUCAACAGGGGGAUAACGCAUCGAAAGAUGUGCUAAUACCGCAUGAGACCACAACAUCACAUGGUGAAGGGGUCAAAGGAGCAAUCCGGUUGAAGAUGGGCUCGCGUCCGAUUAGCUGGUUGGUGAGACAACAGCCCCACCAAGGCGACGAUCGGUAGCCGACCUGAGAGGGUGAUCGGCCACAUUGGAACUGAGAUACGGUCCAGACUCCUACGGGAGGCAGCAGUGGGGAAUAUUGGGCAAUGGGCGAAAAAGCCUGACCCAGCAACGCCGCGUGAGGGAAGAAGGGUUUCGGCUCGUAAACCUCUGUCCUGUGGGACGAAGGAAGUGACGGUACCACAGGAGGAAGCCCCGGCUAACUACGUGCCAGCCGCGGC